GCCUGGAAAAGGUGCCCCUUUCGGGCGGAGCCUCCCCGUAUAGGCCAUUAUAGGGAGUACCUCCCGGGAUGGAAAUGUACAGGGAAAGCCCAGAGGAACGCACUCCGGGGAAGAUCGGGAAUACUCGUCGGAAAAUUUGAAUUAAAUUCCCAACGGAGACCGAUCUGGGUUUGGCUAGAGCUUUAUUUGACCCCUUGACCGACAGCGGGUUUUUACUAUUUCUUCGAGUGCAACCCUAGAAGACGGCAAAAAUAGUGGCGUGUCGUCCUGAACAUCCUGAGUGAGAUCAAAAUCCUUGAUUUAUACUCUUAAGCGAGUCGACGAGUAUCCCCGACCUUUUCAUACGGGAACACCUCCCCCCCGCUACCCCGGACCUAUGUGUCCCCAUGAGUUCCCGGCAUCAGCUUGUCUUCCCUGUGGAUUUUUACAAACCUCUCUUGGCGCUUCUUCUUACUCCCUCGUUCGUUAUCUCCCGGGUUCCUUGGUGCGUUAUCUCAAGGUUCGUUCUUAUUAUAAUGUUUCCAGUGAAUUUGGCGCCAGUUACCUCUGUUCCGGUACUAAAGGGAACGCACGUCAUCCCUAACGGGAGUAGCCUGCGAACGCAGACGUAUCUCCGACAGAACUAAGUGACAGCCGAAAAUGCGUCUGCGUUUGCAGGCCAAAGCGGGAAACUUGGUGUACAAGUACAUAAGGUAUACCCUGGCCUUCUCUCGAGUCCCUGAGAUCUCAAAAUCCUUUCAAUUUAUUUAGACACAAUAUUCAGUUAAGAUGUAAAAUUUUUCUCUGCCCUCUUUAUAGUCUAAUUUCCAUCAUUAAAUUGUUGGAAAUGCGAGGUGCCUGUGGCAUAAUCCUCUUUCCCGCCCCCUCCCCUCUCCUCCUGACUAUUUUCUUGUGAUCUCUUCGAGUGUAGUUCGUCCUCCAUUUUGGCACGUGUGCAAGAAGAAUGGUGGAAAAUUGGGUUUUUCGUAAUUUCACAGAGUCAUGAGAUGGAAAACGGAGACGGUUGUCUGUUUGUUGACAACCUCUGAAGACCUCCGGACGAAGAUCAGAUGCCAACAGAGACAAAGUGGACCAAAGCUUUGAGCAGUCAUCUUUAGAAGGGCUGUAUGUUUUAUUUUGCAAUCCAACUCUUGGGGGAACCGGGUGAACAAAACUCUUGAAUAAGCCAAGUUCUGCCCUGAUUAACUUAGUUCAGUCUUGCAAUGUACAUUGUAUUCUUCUGUGGUUGACUUGCACAAUGAAUAGAAGAACUCUCAUAUAACACUUUGAGCAGUACAGUUUCAAACCCAUCCUUGCUUACUGACUGACUGACUGACUGACUGAUGCAUGGAAUGACAGACUGACUGAUUUACUGACUGACUUACUGAAAGACAUAUGCACAGAAUAAUGGACUGACUGACUUACUGAUCUACUGAGUGACUGACAGAAUGGGAGACUGACUGAUUGAUGGUCUGACCGACUGACUGAUUGACAAACUCGUUGACUGACUCACUGAAAGACUGAUGCAAGGAAUGACAGAGGCACUGACUGAGUGACUGAAAGACUGAUGCAUGGGAUGAUGGACUGACUCAGGGUUCGUAUGGGUCAUGGAAAACCUGGAAAGUCAUGAAAUUGAAGUGUGGGUCAUGAAAAGUCAUGGAAAGUCAUGGAAAAACAAUAUACUUUCUGAGAAUAAAAGGCAAAAAAAAAAAAAAAUCAAAAAUUGAAAAAAUAACAGAAAAUUCAGUAAACCAGUUCUAAUUCCAGUAUUAUUAUAAAAUAUACAAUGGCGCUCAUUUUCUGUGUCAUAAUGUGACAAAAUAUUUUAAACAACAGAUUGUUUUGACAAUACUUUAAAAACAACUGCUUUUAACUGCUUUUAAUCUUUCCCAGUUUUCCAUGACCUAUGUUAAAACAUAGCUCAUGGAAAACUGGGAAAGGUCAUGGAAAAGCCUAAAAGAGUAUGAACCUUGUGACUGAUUGAUUGUCUCAUUGACUGACUGGCUGACAGUAUGAUGGACUGACUGAUUGAUUGAGCGAUCAACUGAUUGAUUGAAUAAGUGCCUGAAUGACUGAUGGAUCAAAUGUUUGAUGGUCUGACUGACUGACAAACUCAUUGACUCAUUGACUCACUGAAAGGCUGAGGUAAAAAAUAAUAGACUCACUUACAGACUGACUGACUGACUGACUGACUGACUGACUGGCUGGCUGACUGACUGACUAACUGGCUGACUGACUGACUGACUGGCUGACUGACUGACUUACUCUCUGGAAAACUAAUGCAAGAAUGACACACUGACUUAUUGAUUGUCUGGCUUAUUGUCUGACUGACUGAUUGAAAGACUGGCACACGGAAUCACUGCCUGAUUGACUGAUGGAUCAAAUGUCUGAUGGUCUGACUAACUGACAAACUCAUUGACUCAUUGACUCACUGAAAGGUCGAUGUAAAAAAUAACAGACUCACUUACAGACUCACUGACUUACUGACUGACUGACUGGCUGACUGACUGGCUGACUGACUGGCU